CACCACUUGUCAUACCCUAAAGGCUCCCUGGUCAAUGAUGUCAUCGACGCAGAGCUCUGUUCUGUUUCCUAUGUGUCAUUCGACCAUGCGGUUGAGUUGGUGAGAAAAGCAGGCUCUGGCGCCCUCAUGGCAAAAGCUGAUAUAAAGUCAGCUUUUAGAUUUUUGCCUGUUCACCUGGACUGUCAUCAUCUCUUGGGCUGUCUUUUCGAUGAACCCUGAACCCGGAAGCAGGAAAGAAAAGGUGGAACGCAUAUGCGUUCCAACAUGUGAAAAAAUGCGACCUGAUCGAUGAUUGGUGCAUGCGCCAACCACCGAUAAUAGAACCACUGACCAUACUAUAUUACCAAAGAAAACAGUUUUAUAAUAAGGAAUUUAAAAAAGAGGCUCAUAUAGCUCCACUAGGGAGCUAAAACAGGAUCAAAGUGUACUGUUCCAGCCCCUGUUGUAAAGCUAAUAUGU